UGGGGAAUAUUGCACAAUGGGGGAAACCCUGAUGCAGCGACGCCGCGUGAAGGAAGAAGGUUUUCGGAUCGUAAACUUCUUUGACGUGGGAAGAAAAAUGACGGUACCACGAAAACAAGCCACGGCUAACUACGUGCCAGCAGCCGCGGUAAUACGUAGGUGGCGAGCGUUGUCCGGAUUUACUGGGUGUAAAGGGCGUGUAGGCGGGAUUACAAGUCGCAAGUCAAAGGCGGAGGCUCAACCUCCGUACGCUUGCGAAACUGUAGUUCUUGAGUAUCGGAGAGGAAAGCGGAAUUCCUAGUGUAGCGGUGAAAUGCGUAGAUAUUAGGAGGAACACCAGUGGCGAAGGCGGCUUUCUGGACGACAACUGACGCUGAGGCGCGAAAGCGUGGGGAGCAAACA
rnacentral:rRNA from 1 species